AGUUACUGAGGCCACUGCACGUAUCACACGAUGUUGGAUACAGUGGGCAAAAGAGGUCUGGAUUCCUUUAUUGAGCUGCUUCCGCCGUAGUGGGAACACAGCAGGUGCACGUGCAACAAUGGACGAACCAUUGGAAGUGGGUGCAUCUGGGAGUGGAAGAGACUGCACACCUGGGGACCACGAAAGCCCAAAGAAAUCUAGGACAUAAUGAUAUUCUGCAACAACUCCAAAGACUUUAAGGGAACAACACAGAAAUGUUAAGAGGAAUGCAAGAGUGCCAGUGGAAUAAAACCUGAGAAGUUGCCAGCAGUGAGUGAAAUGCAAAAUAGCCUCCAGGAUGGUUCCUCAGUACCAAAACUCGACAAGAGCAAGUUAUGAGCUUUUAUUUUUUCUUUUUAAAAAUUUUCUCCUAUAGUAAAAGUCGUAUGUCACAAAAUCUUCAGUGAUAUAACCACAGAUACACCUUGGAUCAAGUACCCAAGGAAAAGAACUUUACAAAGAUAAUUCGGGUCCAUCAGCACAGCUCAGGCCUUCACAACGGGCGCAGGCAUCAAGGGAAAAAGAUAUUCGGGCCACGUCAAUGUCUCCUCUGAAUC